rnacentral:rRNA from 1 species
GACGAACGCUGGCGGCGUGCUUAACACAUGCAAGUCGAACGGAAAGGCCCUGCUUUUGUGGGGUGCUCGAGUGGCGAACGGGUGAGUAACACGUGAGUAACCUGCCCUUGACUUUGGGAUAACUUCAGGAAACUGGGGCUAAUACCGGAUAGGAGCUCCUGCUGCAUGGGGGGGGUUGGAAAGUUUCGGCGGUUGGGGAUGGACUCGCGGCUUAUCAGCUUGUUGGUGGGGUAGUGGCUUACCAAGGCUUUGACGGGUAGCCGGCCUGAGAGGGUGACCGGCCACAUUGGGACUGAGAUACGGCCCAGACUCCUACGGGAGGCAGCAGUGGGGAAUAUUGCACAAUGGGCGGAAGCCUGACGCAGCAACGCCGCGUGCGGGAUGACGGCCUUCGGGUUGUAAACCGCUUUCGCCUGUGACGAAGCGUGAGUGACGGUAAUGGGUAAAGAAGCACCGGCUAACUACGUG